GCGCCUACGGGGGGCAGCAGUGAGGAAUAUUGGUCAAUGGGCGCGAGCCUGAACCAGCCAAGUCGCGUGAGGGAUGACGGUCCUACGGAUUGUAAACCUCUUUUGCCGGGGAGCAAGCGUGCGUUCGUGAACGCACGUCGAGAGUACCCGUAGAAUAAGCUCCGGCUAACUACGUGCCAGCAGCCGCGGUAAUACGUAGGGAGCAAGCGUUAUCCGGAUUUAUUGGGUGUAAAGGGUGCGUAGACGGGAAAACAAGUUAGUUGUGAAAUCCCUCGGCUUAACUGAGGAACUGCAACUAAAACUAU
rnacentral:rRNA from 1 species